rnacentral:lncRNA from 1 species
ACAGGUGAGGAACAGGAGACCCGCAGAGGGGAUGGCCUCCUGGGGACCCCAGCUGCGCGGGUAGAAGCAGGACUUGAAGCAUUCUCUCUCUUCCUUCCUUGGACACACCUACUCGGAGGCUCCUGGCCCCGGGAGGCCCCCAGCGGAGCUGGAGGAGGGCCCAGCACCAGGGGUGGGUGAGAUGCCAGCACCCCCUUGGAGAUCAGAACUGCUAGUCGGGUCAGCUGA